CGUCAAUUAAAGAAAUUAAUGAUAAUGGAGAUGUUGCUGAUGAUCAUUACCACCGAUUCUUGGAAGAUAUUGAGAUUAUGCAUUCACUUGGAGUAAAUGCGUACCGGUUCUCAAUUUCAUGGGUUAGAAUUUUACCAAGUAUGUUCUUAGUAGCAAUUAAUUGAAUGUUAAUGUAGUGAGAUUAAUAUUCAACUACUUGAUGAUAAUGUUCCUGAGCUGUAACAGAAGGCAGAUUUGGUGAAGUUAAUCCAAGUGGAAUCAUGUUUUAUAAUAAUAUUAUAGACCAUCUCUUGCUCAGAGGGAAGAUUUCGUACAUUUUGCCAAAAUAUGCUUUGAGAAUUUUGGUGAUCGAGUUAAGAGUUGGGCAACCAUCAACGAGCCGAACUUGUUAAGCGAAAUGGGAUAUGUUAGGGGAUGGUACCCUCCAGCUCACUGUUCAGCACCAUUUUGAAAUUGUUCUGGUGGCAACUCUGAUGUAGAGCCCCUCAUUGUUAUGCACAACAUGUUACUGUCACAUGCCAAGGCUGUUAAGCUAUACCUUGAGCAGUUUCAGGUAAUAGAAUGAGCUUGAAUACUAAAUUGUGAAGUGCUUAUAUGGCAUGAAGAAGGGACAUCAAAUGACAGUGCCCAGCUUGCUGGCUUGUUUGAAACCGCUGGAAAUGUUGAGAUGGCUGAGGUAAUUAUGGU